UGGGGAAUAUUGCACAAUGGAGGGAACUCUGAUGCAGCGACGCCGCGUGAACGAAGAAGGCUUUCGAGUCGUAAAGUUCUUUUAUAUGGGAAGAUAAUGACGGUACCAUAAGAAAAAGCCCCGGCUAACUACGUGCCAGCAGCCGCGGUAAUACGUAGGGGGCUAGCGUUGUCCGGAAUCACUGGGCGUAAAGGGUUCGCAGGCGGAAAUGCAAGUCAGGUGUAAAAGGCAGUAGCUUAACUACUGUAAGCAUUUGAAACUGCAUAUCUUGAGAAGAGUAGAGGUAAGUGGAAUUUUUAGUGUAGCGGUGAAAUGCGUAGAUAUUAAAAAGAAUACCGGUGGCGAAGGAGACUUACUGGGCUCAUUCUGACGCUGAGGAACGAAAGCGUGGGUAGCAAACAGG
rnacentral:rRNA from 3 species